GUAGGUGGCAAGCGUUGUCCGGAAUUAUUGGGCGUAAAGCGCGCGCAGGCGGUCCUUUAAGUCUGAUGUGAAGGCCCACGGCUCAACCGUGGAGGGUCAUUGGAAACUGGGGGACUUGAGUACAGAAGAGGAAAGCGGAAUUCCAAGUGUAGCGGUGAAAUGCGUAGAGAUUUGGAGGAACACCAGUGGCGAAGGCGGCUUUCUGGUCUGUAACUGACGCUGAGGCGCGAAAGCGUGGGGAGCAAACAGGAUUAGAUACCCUGGUAGUCCACGCCGUAAACGAUGGGUGCUAAGUGUUAGGGGGUUUCCCGCCCCCCUUAGUGCUGCAGCUAACGCAUUAAGCACUCCGCCUGGGGGAGUACGGCCGCAAGGCUG
rnacentral:rRNA from 1 species